AUUACAGAUGACCCCUAAGGCCCAGAGACGGGCAGGAACUUGCUCACUGGGGCCAGGGCUAGAAUGGGAGCUGAGGUUCUGGCUUCCUGACCACAAGACAGAGAAGAGACAUUAUCACAGGAAGAAACGAAAGCAAAUGUUCACUGAAGCUUUAUACAACUGGCCCCAAACUGGAGACAACCCGGAGAUCCACCAGUAGGUGAUGGAUGAACUGUGAUGCAUCCAGAGAGUGGAAGACUCGGCAGCAUAAAGGUUACUAUGAGAUGCCGCACAGUGCCCUAUGCUACUCCCUAGCAAAUCCUGGUUGUUUAGCUAUUUAACGUGUGUGCUGGUUAAUCCCUUACACCUAACUCACCCCUCCCUCCCUUCCCCUUUGGUAACCAUAAGUUUGUUUUCUGUGUCUGUGAGUCUGUUUCUCUUUUGCAAAUAAGUUAAUUUGUACUGGCUUUUAGAUUCCUCAUAUAAGUGACAGCAUAGGACAUUUGUCUUUGACUUACUUCACUCAGUAUGAUCAUCUCUAGGACCAUCCAUGUUGCUGUAAAUGGCAUCAUUUGUAAUUUAGUUCAGGGAAAGAGUAAGGAUCCAAAAAUUGUUUUUGAGAUGGCCAUCCAGUCGUCCCAGUACUAUUUAUUGAAUAAUUCAGUCUUUCCCCAUUGGUGAUGUGGUAAC
ensembl:lncRNA